UUCACAUCGCCGGUCAGUGGCCUGGAGCCAGCGGCAGGAAAUCUGGAAUUAAAUGUUUCGUGUAUCGGGGAGGCGGCAUGACUAAGACAUCUCCAGGUAGAGUCCAUUCAGCAGCACAGCCUUCUGCAAACAUGCCAAGGCACUUCUUUUAUGUUGGCUCAAAAGAAAAAAUGCUACUUCAUGACUUGCCAAGGACAACUCUUCAGCACUGAUAUGUCCCAGAUUACUUCGUAAACAAAGCAAAAAUAAUUUCUUUCAUCCAACUGCGGCAGGAACUGAACAACUUAAUCUGAUCAUUGCGUGCAAAGAAAAUAUUUCCAAUGACGACAUCUUCCUAUGUCAAUUGUUUUUUCAUUACAGAUGUCAUCUCGAUAUGCCACAUUAAUGCACCUCUUUCUUCUCAUUUCAAGAUUUUAAUCUAAGUUUGUUGC